UUUGAAUGGUACUGAAUAUAAGUGCAUGUGUGAGGAUCAGUAUUUCUGGCCGUGUGAAAAGUGCACACUAUAUGGAUUCUGUGAUGAUGUUAACGAAUCCUUAUGUGGCUGCAUCAAUGAUCUUCCAAAUGAUGGACACUUUUGCCAACCAAUCAAUGAGCUGUCUAAUAAAGCUUUGUGUCCAGCUUUAAGACCAACAGCUGAUUUUCUGAUUGAGAUCGAGAUUGAUACAGUAGAUAGAACAGUCUUGAUGUUAUUGAGGAACUUUUCAUCAACUCUCAGUUCACCCUCCACAAAUACUACAAUUAAUAUGACUGAAAUGAACAUCA